rnacentral:tRNA from 2 species
AACAAUAAUGGGAAAAUCCUUGUUGAUACUACUAAAAGUGUGGUUGAAAACAGCAAGCAAGCUUUUGGUUCAAUUUCAAAUAUUGUCAC